GACGUAGGGCGCGAGCGUUGUCCGGAUUUAUUGGGCGUAAAGAGCUCGUAGGCGGCUUGUCGCGUCGUUCGUGAAAACCUGCAGCUCAACUGCAGGCUUGCGGUCGAUACGGGCAGGCUGGAGUUCGGUAGGGGAGACUGGAAUUCCUGGUGUAGCGGUGAAAUGCGCAGAUAUCAGGAGGAACACCGGUGGCGAAGGCGGAUCUCUGGGCCUUACCUGACGCUGAGGCGCGAAAGCUAGGGGAGCAAACAGG
rnacentral:rRNA from 1 species